CCUACGGGAGGCAGCAGUAGGGAAUAUUGCUCAAUGGGGGAAACCCUGAAGCAGCAACGCCGCGUGGAGGAUGAAGGUUUUAGGAUUGUAAACUCCUUUUGUUAGAGAAGAUUAUGACGGUAUCUAACGAAUAAGCACCGGCUAACUCCGUGCCAGCAGCCGCGGUAAUACGGAGGGUGCAAGCGUUACUCGGAAUCACUGGGCGUAAAGAGUGCGUAGGCGGGGUAAUAAGUCAGAUGUGAAAUCCUGUAGCUUAACUACGGAACUGCAUUUGAAACUGGUACUCUGGAGUGUGGGAGAGGUAAGUGGAAUUCUUGGUGUAGGGGUAAAAUGCGUAGAGAUCAAGAAGAAUACUCAUGGCGAAGGCGACCUGCUGGAACAUUACUGACGCUGAUGCGCGAAAGCGUGGGGAGCAAACAGGAUUAGAUACCCCUGUAGUC
rnacentral:rRNA from 1 species